UCGGGAUAGCUCAGCUGGUAGAACAGAGGUCUGAAA
rnacentral:tRNA from 1 species